AAUCUAUUUUGCAUCUGUACGGCUCUAGUACGUACCAUUUAUCCCUUUCCCCAUUCUCAUUCUCCUCCCGUUCCUUUUUCUCUGUUCAUGUCCUAAUUGCUAUAGAUUCUGCCAACAAAAGAGGAAGAUGAGAGAAGUGGGAUUUGGAGCGGAGUGCGGUGGCUGCAAGCUCCCGACGGCGGCAGGUAGUCCAGCUCGACCACACGUGCCUGCUGCUCGCCGCCAUCGUUGAUUGGAUGGCCAUGGAGUUGGGUCCACUUGAACCUGAGCGGUGGCACUCCUCCAGAAUUUUUCUGUUGGAGAGAAGGAUUUUGCGCCCCCAAGCAGCAGGGUUGCGAGGCAAAGCGGUCCCUGGGGAGGCCACUGAAUAAAAUGAGAGAUUCGUUUCCCUGAGUGGCAUUACUUUCUUGUUCGUGGCACUGGCCGAGAGUUGUGGCGUCGGGUUGGACCCCAUGUUUUUCAGUGUUCUAGGAUAUAACUUAUACAUAUGUGACUUGCCAUUGGUGUGCCUUGCGUUGUUUUAGGGAAUUUAACCUCUAUUUUUUUAGUUGACAUUCUACCCAACUUUGAUUACCGUCUCUUCAACACGUCCGUACUAAUUACACGAAUUUUCCAAUAGAAAAAAGUGUUCAAUAUUUGUUGGAUAAAAGGUGUAUUAUUUCUAUUUAUUGUUACCAUAUAUUAGCAAGUUAUAUUAAUAAAGAUGUACCUAAGACAAAGGAAGAAGGCUUGCACGUAUUAACUGAAUUUGGCUCAUAUGUGUUAGUUGUUAUGCAAUACUGUAGAUUUUAGUUUUUUCACAUGUGUUGUAGGAGAUGUCUAUAACAUUGAAGAUUUCUCAUUGUUCUCUUCAACUGAAAAGGCUGUAGGAUAGAAGGUUUGUUUCCAAGAGCAUAAAACUCACAAAAGUGCAUGUAUGAAUGUAUUUUGAAUAAUUACAAUUUGACAUGCUUCUCAUAGUACUGACUUUUGACCCUUAUCUAAUAACUGCCCCCCUUAGACUAAUCCAUGUCAAGCAUUAUUUCUCUAUCUCAGUGAACAUAAAUGGUUGGCGUGGUGCUUCUCAGAUCCUCCCAUCCAAUAAGUUUAGCAAUUUUUACAUACCACUGUUAUUAGUGCAGAGUACAUAUAAUAUGAAAGUUCUCAUUCAAAUUAGCAAAAUAUGCUUACCAGGUGUUAUGAUUUCUAGAUAUGUACCACAAUUUUCGCAGUAACACUUUCCACUUUCCUUUGUAGUUAGUUUGUGUCAAUCAGAAUUGGAAAACAAAAUCAUAAAAAAAUCACCCAAAAACUUAAAAGGUAGCAUCCCGAAGAAGUUGAUAGACUAAUAAUUCAGAUAUGAUGAUUCUAUUAUAACUGAUAUGACUCGAUUGCUAGAAAAGCACUACAGGUCUGAUAGUCUCGUUUUCCUCAAGAACUGGUGAUAUCAUAUCGUAGAAGAAGUUUGAUCCAUCGCCUGGCUUGUCUGGUUUUUAUGCCUCAUUCCAGUGAGAGGCAACUCAGAAGACCUGUCCUGACUUCAUCGGGCAUUGAGAUGCAGUCACAUCGGAGUUUUGGCAUUUUUUGUCUUCAAUUUUUUCUUCAAUUGAGUUGGAUAGCAGAUUUGUUCUGUAGUCUUCGAUUCUGUUGGUGAUGCUCUUGCCGGGUAGCAGAUUCUGGAAGACUUCUAUUUUCUCGGUGGUUCUCUGAUCGGGUAGCAGAUGUACAGACAUUGAUUUGUCCAGAAUUGGUUGGAUUCAAUUCUUGCGGUUGGAUGUGGUCGGCUGGGUGCCUUUCUGAUUUGUUGGCUUGGCCGAUCCAUGUAGAGUUUCUCUUUAUCAAGACUUCAUGUGGUCCUUUCAUCAAGACUCCAUGUGGAUAGUCCGACUGUAGUUAUCCUUGUUUUCUUUUCUUUCAUGAAGACUCCACGGCUGGAGUUAUCCUUGUUUU